UAGCCAGAUGUAGGAUGCAAGACGGUAGUCAUGAUCGCGAAGCCGUUUGAGAUGGCGAGCAGGAUCAGUACUAACUGGUUAUUUGCAGCGCAUCAUGUAUUACCACCCACACCCGCUCCCUCAUCUUCAUGAAUCUCGGCCAGUAGACUUCUUAUCAAUUGAAGAACAAGCCCAUUUCACGCCGAUAUGGUGACUGAGUUGCUCAACAUCGAGUUGAUGAAGGACAAUGCUCUUCUUGUUCAAGGGAUCGAGCAGCAGACAACCCAUUGUUUAACAUUCGGGGUAUCGCCGUAUCAUUAUUUCUAUAUCAUCCCACUCUAAAAAUUGCUCCUCCGCAGUUGUUUUGGCUCAGCUUUCCCUGCAGUCGGAAGUCGGUAAUUAGAUGGGAAUGCAAGCUCUCUUAAGCGAAAUUCCAUUCUAUCCGCCUUUCGACGUCACAUGAACAAUCUAAACUAAGCUUUGCCCAGAAUUAAUACUCGAACCCUCCUCUUUCCAGCCCCACGACCCCCUUCCUCUUUCACGGAGCUCACAUUAACUUUAACUUUGUCAAACAAGUCGACCACCACGCCAUUCUUCGGAUUCCAACCAGCUCCACUCUCACCGUCUCGUUCCCAAACCUUCAACGAAUACUCCUCCGCAUCGAACUCACUUUCCCGCCUAGGAGCAACCUGUUUCCCCUCACCCGGCUGAGUUCCAGAGAUGAUGAAAUCCUCUAGCCUCACAACACCCUCGAUGCCAAAUCGCGGUACGAAAACAACAACUCCGUUGUCAAACACGCGCAUGACGUACCCUUCUUCAUCUAUCCCCGCAUUCGUCCCCACACCUGCCCCAAGCUUAGACGCCUCUUGUUCGCCGCGGGCCUUGAGCGCCUGUCCAACAUAGUAUUCUAUACUUGCACGGCCAGCAAGCUGUGCAUUACGAUGGCGAUGGUUGAUAUUUUUGCAAAUAUCCUCUAGGCGGCUCCGGGCAGCCAGUCCUUCGGCUGGAGAGGCGCCGAGUCCUUCGUAGCCGAUUGCAGCAGCUAAUUGGCGGUGGACGACCAAAUCUGCGUACCGCCGAAUGGGGGAGGUGAAAUGGGUGUAAAUUGACGAGGCAAGGCCGUAGUGGCGGAAUUCGGACUCCGCGUGAGCCCCUGCGCAGAAGUAUUCUGCAGACGUCAUACAUCUGGUGGCAAGGAUACGAACCAGGGUGUUGAAGAAUGGAUUGGCUGGGUCAACACAACGAUCAAGGGACCUUGCCAGAGCAAGGGAGCUGGAUACGUCGAGGGUCAUGUUGCGCUUUUUCGAGAGUUGAGCGAUCAAUUCUUCAAAAUUUGAGGGUGGUGGAGUGGCGUGGCGCCGAAGAAGUGCUGUUUGCGGGAAGGACUUGAAGAUUUUGGAAGCGACCGUUGUAUUAGCGUGAAGCAUGAAUUCCUCAACAAGGCUGUUUGUGUCCAAAAGGGCUUUGGUUUUCACAUCUGCCACGGGGUCUGAUAAUUCCGAAUCGGUUUCUAUGCGGACUUCUGGGGAUGCUAAGUUAAGCGCUCCCGCGUCCAUCCGCUUUUGUUUGAGUAAUUUGGAAAGUUUUAGAAGUAACCUCAUACUCUCCGUUAAUUCAUCUGUUUUUGAUUUAUCAUCAAUACGUAAUUGGGCUUGUUCGUAGCUGAAAGCUUCUCUGGAUAAAAUAACGGAUUUUGUACAAAUUGAGGACACAACCUCAGCAGAAGGAGUCAUUUCCCAGAUAGUGG
rnacentral:sRNA from 1 species